UACGUAGGUGGCAAGCGUUGUCCGGAUUUACUGGGCGUAAAGAGCGCGCAGGCGGUCGUUCAAGUCGCGUGUGAAAGCCCCCCGGCUCAACUGGGGAGGGUCACGCGAUACUGAUCGACUGGAAGGCAGGAGAGGGUAGUGGAAUUCCCGGUGUAGUGGUGAAAUGCGUAGAUAUCGGGAGGAACACCAAUGGCGAAGGCAGCUCGCUGGGACGUUACUGACGCUGAGACGCGAAAGCGUGGGGAGCAAACAGG
rnacentral:rRNA from 1 species